rnacentral:lncRNA from 1 species
CAGGUUUUUAACCAGUUGUUUAUAUCUUAUAUGAAGUGGUGUUCUCUUUGACAAACAUUUAGAUAACAACUUGUCUCAGCAUAGCUUCAAUGUACAAAGUAAAUAAACCAACAUACAAAGCUUAAACGACAAUUUAAAACUGAAAGUCCUUGAACAAAAGGCAAAAUCAAAGUUCAAAUAUCAAAUAAAUGGAAAAACACUUGUUAUAAGCCUUACUUGGCACAGGCGUUUCUUUGUCUGUGUCAGUGUGGCAAAUUUAGACUUACAGCUUGCUUUUUUCUCACUUGUAUAACAGCCGC